rnacentral:rRNA from 1 species
AAACGACUCUCGGCAACGGAUAUCUCGGCUCUCGCAUCGAUGAAGAACGUAGCGAAAUGCGAUACUUGGUGUGAAUUGCAGAAUCCCGUGAACCAUCGAGUCUUUGAACGCAAGUUGCGCCCGAAGCCUUUAGGCCGAGGGCRCGUCUGCAUGGGCGUCACGCAU